rnacentral:lncRNA from 1 species
CCCACCCACCACGGCAAAGAAAACCCCCCGAGCCAGCCGUAGGAAAAGAUUUUUUUUCCAUUUAAUACUAGACUCUCAGGAUUGAGAUGCAGGCUUUUUAUGCAAUUACAUCCAAUGUUAAAAUUGGUAAUACAUAAUUUACAAAGAUUAACAUCAAAACAAUGAUCUAUUUAGAUAUGCUUUGUAAAAAGGAAAUAUAUUAGCAGCAUUUAUUUUCAGCAAUCACACAGCCUACACCCAUGCAGACUAAGGUUCAGCUCUAUUUGCAGUAACGUAGUGCUUCCUGGCUCCGGCGGCGAUCCUGGGGACACAACGGGUCUGCUCAGUAUUAUAAAAUAACCGAAAAAUAAAAAAAGUCAUUAAUUUCUACACCAGUAAGAAAAAACAAGUUCUUUUGCACUUACCUAACAUUUGAUUGUCUAAAAAACAUUUCGUUUAGUCUUUCAACAAAAGAAAGAUAAAAUGACAGAGCUAGUGUCUCGCUUCUGUACGCACUUUAUUUUUUUUAAUUUUUUUUUUUAAAAACUUUUUUUAGUGUUUAACACCAUUGGAGACAAUGAUUUUUUUUUUUUUUUUUCUGUUUGAAACUAAAUGAGACAACUCGAGGGUCUGGACAUGCGAUAUUCCUACUACACGCACGAGUAUUUUAUACUCAGGGUUCCUGGUACUGUACAGUGCUUCUCUACAGUAAGAAAAUAUUCCAAACUAUUUUCUUAUUUCUUUUUUUUUUUUAAUAAAAUAUUUUUUUUUUCUCAAAGGGGUUUUUUUUUCCUUUCUUUUUUUUUUCCCUUUUUUUUGCUUUUUUUUUUGCCUUUUUUUUUUUUUUUUUUUUUUUUUCCUUCCCAACAGGUUUUUUUAAAUUUGCACAACACACGAGACACACGAGAAAACCACAGCUUAUCCAAAAAAGAACCAACAGCAACGGCGGCGUCAGGAUCCGACUCGCUUCUUAUAAAACUCCUCUGCAGAAAAAAAAGCGGGGGGGAAAAAAAAACCCAAAAGAACGAAAACAACCCCCAAAAAAACCCCUC